rnacentral:tRNA from 1 species
GGGGUUGUAGCUCAGUGGUAGAGCACUUGCCUGCAUGUGUGAGAACCUGGGUUCGAUCCUCAGCACCA